UACGGGAUGAGAGUGAGGAUGCAGUGAAAAAUGGAGUGAAAAAUAGAGAGAAGGAUUAAGAGAAGGAGAGGAAAUGAAGACGAUUUGUAAAGAUUGAGUCCCUGAUGAUGGGAGACAGAGGGGGGGAGGAGGAGGAUGUACAGUAUGUGAAAGAAGAUGGAUGAGGAGGGGAGAAAAAUGAAGCUAGAAAGAAAGUUUGCCACACUUGAACUAAAAAAAGCCCCACUGCACUUUGUUUAGGCGUAAAUGUUGCCUUGUAAAGAUACCAACACAGAAAUGCAAAAGAUCUCAUGACUACAACAGCGUAAUGAGACGGUAUGAAUGACUUGUGAAAAUACAGUUGAUCUCCAAGAACUGACUUUUGCAGAACUGGAGUUUUUUCUUUUCUCCCAGCAACAAUGAGCGACGAGGAAGAAAAAGAGAGAGGACGGGAGUGAGGAAGAAGGCAGGAGUUGUGGGAGGAGGGAGAGGAUGCGAGAGAGGGUGACAGCCAAGUGGAGAGGAGACGGAUGGGAGCAAAGUGAAAGCUGAAGACAUCCACCACUGAUUGCAUCAACAGGUCUGAGCCCCUCCAGUGUGUUUUCGACUCGGGGAACAAAGGUGUCUGCGACUGAGAGAUGAAAACUGCGACAACUGAUGAAGAUGACCUGUCAAACUCGCAAUCAGCGGAAAGCAACGUGCACGGACGGAUUGGAGAGAAAGAGUGGAGAUGGAAAGACGGCGUUUAGGAAGAAAAGGAGGGAGUUUACGCCCACCGCCUAAAGAGAUGAGAAGACAGGCAGAGGAGGGGAGAAUUUGUGGAGGAAGCAGAGUGUGUGUGAGUGCCAGAGCUCAUCAGCCUGUCAAACAUCCGUUAUAGACCACAAACCCACACAGCCACUGCACUGCUGAGGUCUAUCACUAAACAGGUGCACUUCCUUCACCUUCACACACACUUUCUGAUGCACUCUGAUCCAGCGUGCAUCUUCCCAGUGUGUUUGUGUGUGUGUGUAGGUGGCCACAUUUACGCACACCAAGUUUGUCCACAGGGCACAAAGCCGCCUUGGCUUAUUUCCAUGUAGCGGAAGGUGAUCCACACUGAGUCACUGUCAUUGAUCAGAAAAUAAAACCAGUCGGGUGGAUUCUUCAUAGCGAGAUGCUUCCUUCACAGCUCUCCUGAGCACCUAAACUGUUUUAGCACAAUCUGCACUCUCAGUCCAACCCACGUUUGAACCCGUAUUAUUCCUCACUGUGCUCGGAGUUUUGUAAUUCUGACUGCUGACGCACUGCAUCUAAAUUCAUCAUCCACUUUACCCGAGGGUGUUACAGCAGGGUUUUGUUUGUCUGUUUGUUUCUUUUAAUGCCUCAGAUACCCCACUCCCUCCACCCCAGAUAUAGGUGUAGUUUGAACCAGAGGACAUUGCAUAAAGUUGAGGUUAAUGCUUUUGUUGUGGGUGGGAAACAAAGCAGUGUGUGAUAUCUCUAAUUAGAAGUGUGAGUCAUUGUGUGAAAUCAGUGAAUUGUACGUUCGAAACCUUCACAAAUCCUGCACCUCAGAAUGCAAACUGUACUCCUGACGCUUUUGGUUUCGUUAACAGUUUCUCCAUCUUCACAUAUAUUUGCACCCGAAUUAGCCGUUUGCGAGGCUUAAACGUCUGUGACAUCUGCCUGCAUCCUACCAAUGAGAAUGAUGAUAUCUGUGUUACUAAUGUGAUCCUUGUUGUGAUGCAGAAUUGUGACUCCGGGUAGAUUAUAUGCUAUUUUAAGACGUAACCUUUCCUCACCUUUUUAACACAGAAAAUGAGUUUCUAUGGGGAUACUGGUGUAUAAGAAUGUUAAUUAGUGGAACUCAUGCACAUUUAUAUUUGUGGCGUAAAAUAUGAACAUGUUGGGCCACUUGUAUGUUUAUAAUCACUAGAAUAUUGUCACAUUUUUGGGGAUAUUUCAGUAAUAUAGAGGUCCACAGUCACUCUAAGCUCUAAUUGGAAGCAACCAAUAAACAGUACAUACCCUAGAAUUGAUCCUGGUUAUGUCUUAUAAUAAAACAGCAAGUGGGAAUGUAAAGAAGACAUUAUUAGCAGCUGAAUACUAUCAGAGUUAAGUAUAAUCACUAAAAUAAGCCAGUAAGGGAUGAAACAGAAUGCCCAGAUCUAACUUUAUUAAAAUCUACACCAUCAUUACAACGCAGAGAGUUUCCAGGGUUUGAAUUAUGAAGCCUCCACUCAGCAUGUUUACCUCAUUUGAAUAAAGAAGCUGGUCCUGUGCAGCGUGGCGACCAUUAUUCUUAUCCCGAGCCAGAGUUCACGUGAAAGCAAAAUCAUGAAAAUUAUGUAUUCUUAAUUAGAAUUAAUGUAGCUUUAAAGAAAGGCUGCGCCGCUGCGUCUCACUGAGGUUAGGAAGCAAAGGAGGAGGUCUAUUUGUCUGUUUCUUGUCUGUGGCUGUCUAGUCACCCGGCCACAUGCUCCAUCAUAGUUUAAAUAUUCAUAGGCCGUUGCCUGAAUAUUCAUGAGGCCCCUAUUAAUAUUUAUGAGCUUCACUUGUUGAGGUGUCACUCGAUCUCUUGUACAGCCAUGCACACACAGACAUUUACACACACUGAUGAUCAAAGCAGAUAGCUAUGUCGACAUGGGCAGCGGUCUAAGUUACAGUCAUGAUGUCAUGGUAAAUAAAAACUGUCUCUCCUCGUUUGCAGUUAAACAACCUCCAGAAAAGCCUGAAUAAAUAUGUUAAAAAGAAUUUGGGAAAUAGGCCCAUUGGUUUUUUUUUUUUUAUCUAGAGUUUGCAGGAGCACCUCCAGAAAUGUUUUAUAGGAGCGGCCAGAUGGGGCUCCUGGAGAAUCUGGGCUGCCACACAAAAACCAGAAGUUUAGUGCAGAAAUUCUAUUAUACUGUUGUAGCAUAGAGGCUAGUUGAAAACUGCAUCAACAUGAGAGUUAAGAAAUCACAUGCAGGGAGAGUUAAUAUUUUGGGUAUCUGGGCGACCACCAGUCAAAAUAGAUCAGGAGAAGAGAUGCUGCAGAGUGUUUGAGGGGAAAAUUUACCCAUAGUCAAUACAUUAAACAUUUAUUUAUGACUUAAAUAUGGAAAAUUCUGUUAGACUGAGGUUAUAAUUCAUCAUAAUAAUAGACAACAAUGCAAAAUACUCUAUCUGUAGCGAUCCAUGUGUGUUCUCGAGUCAUGUCCCACCCACAGCACUGUCUGAUUGGCCUAUUUACAUUGAAGGUUAAAUGUUAAAAACUUCUUUUUCAAUUAAAUAUAUGUAAUAUAUAUAUAGUUUUUUGUUGAAUACUAUGUUUUUCCAAAAUUUGACAUCAAGAUUUUGAUUCCAAAUAUCAUUAUCUCGCUCCUUAAUUAUUAAUAAUCUGUCUUGACACUGACAAAACCAUUUUGGUCGACCAAAUCUUUGCAAUAUCUACUGACUAUUUUUUUAAAAAUGCUUUUUUUGGGUGCAUGUAAGGCCUCUUUCUUUCGUCUGUCAUCUCCUCCACAUGGUUUUGCACGGCAGAAGUAGUCACCCACUGUGGUAGCAGCUACGCUGGCUAGUUCUGGCAUCGUGCUCUUCGUUUUUUUUCCUUUUUGGGGGGGUGGUGGCAACCAGCUGUAAGGUGUAAUACCGCCACCUGCUACGUUGGAAUGCCAACCAGAUAGUUACUGGCACUGGAUUAUUAGGAUAUUAUCGUGUGUGUUGUCAGCAUGAUAUCAGUAUUUCAUGUUUUUAAAUAUCACAUUUAUGAUCAAUACCAAUAUAUCACAACAGGUAAUAGGUAAUUAGCUAACUUUUAAAUUCUUGGUAUGUAGGUCCUGAACAUACUAAUAUAAAUAUUUUCUAUAUAGAAAUUUUUCCCUUCCACUUACAAAAAUGUUUAUCCACACAACCAAGAAUGCAAAAACAAACAGGCCUGGCUAUCAAUCAUACAGCUAAUAGCAGAGAAAACUUGUGUUUUUGGGUGAAGUGGUGCAACAAUGCCAAGUUAAGCUGUAAACUUGUAGCCGGUUGUACGUAUCUGCCAUAUCUCCAGUGAUGCUGUUCCAGAUACAUGCUCAUUACACAACGCAACGCCGUUCAUGCAGGAAUUGAUUUUUAGUUUUUAAAUCUGUGCAUUACAAAGCAUUUGGGUGACUUAAGUUCUAUUUCCAUGUGGACGAGGUGCCCAAAGGUUGAAAAUAUAGAUUGAAAAUAAUGUUUGUUUUGCAAAAUAUCUAUAUCCUUCAGUCUUUGUGCCAAGUAAAGCUGCUGGCUGCAGCUUCAUAUUUAGCAGAUAUGAAUCUCAUCAAACUCUCUGCAAGAAUGCAAAUUAGCAUAUUUCCCUAAAUGUUAAUUCAUCCAAAUAGUAUACACCAUGGGAAAUAAAAAGUUUUUAAAACUUGUAAAAUUAAUAAUGGACCCACUAUUGAGUAACCUAGUAAGUGUGCUGUGAAUGUUUUUGUAUAUAAAUAAUUGAUAUUGUAAAACCUUACUUUAUAUGUCUACCAGAAGAGUCAGUGAGUUCACUGUCUACUGCCUCCCUGAGAACAGGGCCACUCUAACCCCAGUUCCAGUAAAGGCCUUAAAACAGACGUUUCUGCACCUCAGUGAGGCGCUGGAACCGAUGUAACACUACAACUCUCUCACACACACACACACACACACACACACACGCGCGCGCAUGCUAACACACAGUCAGCUGUGCACUUUCUAAUGAGUGAGUUUAUGUAACAGACUACAACAGUGGUAUUUCUGUGCACGCGCGACGGGAAACGAGCGCCGCUGAGUCGCAGUCCUGGGUGCACACAUGUCAGCCAUCCUGCCAGAACUAGCAAACAGCAGGUGUGUGUGUGUGUGGGUGUGUGUGUGUGUGUGUGUGUGUGUGUGUGUGUGUGUGUGUGUGUGUGUGUGUGUGUGUGUGUGUGUGUGUGUGUCUUUCCGCUAUGCCACUUCUUUUUUCAAAUUUUAGAUUGCAUGCAGGCCAGCUGUCCAUGGAUGAACUGUUCAAGUGGACAAAAAAAAAAGUCUCUAAUUUGAUUAAGUUGUAUUUGUGUUGUGGAUGAUGUAAAAUCGUCUUUUCAGUCAGUGAAGUGUCAUUAAAACAUGACAGACCUG